rnacentral:rRNA from 1 species
AACCGUGGUAAUUCUAGAGCUAAUACAUGCUAAAAACCCCGACUUCGGAAGGGGUGUAUUUAUUAGAUAAAAAACCAAUGCCCUUCGGGGCUCCUUGGUGAUUCAUAAUAACUCAACGAAUCGCAUGGCCUUGCGCCGGCGAUGGUUCAUUCAAAUUUCUGCCCUAUCAACUUUCGAUGGUAGGACAGUGGUAAGCAUUUCCCCCCCCCCCUUUACGGCACCCUCAACUUUUCAACGCACUUGCUAAUAUUCUUGCAGGCCUACCAUGGUCUCAACGGGUGAGAUGAUUCUCUGUUGCCCGCUUUUUUGAUCCGUAGGGGCCUCGGCCUCUGCGACAUCAUUGGUUCAGAAGAUGUUCUGUUGGAGCUAAUUCUGAGGUGUGCUCCCUGAGGGGCCGCCUAAACGCAUGCCAAGUGAUGGGCUCGGCUCAACGAGUUUGUGAUACAUGCUGUCCAUUCGGGUAAAAUCGAAUCAGGCUACAGCCUUUGUGUGAGGCCGUAUCGUGGUUCUGUGGGCUUGCUGGAAGAAUUGGGUGCAGGGCUCAAAUCAUCGGUUCCACAAGCCCGCUCCCACGGUAGAGAGUCUACGGCUGUGGAUCUGCAGGAUCUGACGAACGGGGAAUUAGGGUUCGAUUCCGGAGAGGGAGCCUGAGAAACGGCUACCACAUCCAAGGAAGGCAGCAGGCGCGCAAAUUACCCAAUCCCAAUGCGGGGAGGUAUGUACAACCGUCCCAUCUUCUUUCACGUAAAUGCUAACGAUCGCGCAGGUAGUGACAAUAAAUACUGAUACAGGGCUCUUUCGGGUCUUGUAAUUGGAAUGAGUACAAUCUAAAUCCCUUAAUUUCGUUGGGUUACUACACAGACCGUCGUUGGGGGAUUUAUCACAAGUCAUUCUAUACUAGAUGGCGACGUCCCGUCUUUCCGAGAACUUACAACUUUAAGCUGUAAGAAUUCGAAGCCCUAUCUGGGUUCAGAGACUACGCAGGGGCGGAUAGCUUCGACUAUUUAUAAUAUAGUCCAAUCCUCGGGCCAUUCCGGCCCGAGGUGAUUAUGUAACGAGGAACAAUUGGAGGGCAAGUCUGGUGGACAAUGUUCCGCUGACGCCAGACCGGGGGCGGGAAGAUGCCUUCUUCCGCUCCAGUAGACAGCCACGCUGUCUGCAAGAUGAUCGGUACGGGAAAAGCUAGGAUCCACGACUGUGGCUGGCUUAUCCCGUGGUCCAGGCUCCGAGUACGCCUUGACUGACCUCGCCCUGUUCCAUAACGCACGCCAGAUCAUCGCCGAUGUGCCCAGAGUCUGGGUUGACAACGGUUCAGGGACGUGCUAAUCCCCACCUGAGAAGGGGGUCUCACCGCGGACAAGGUGGGACUUGGGAUAUAGAUGGCCAGCAGCCGCGGUAAUUCCAGCUCCAAUAGCGUAUAUUAAAGUUGUUGCAGUUAAAAAGCUCGUAGUUGAACCUUGGGUCUGGCUGAUCUGUCUUCCUAACCGUUGUACGGAUUCGGUCGGACCUUUCCUUCUGGGGAAACCUAUGUCCUUUAUUGGUCGUAGUGGGAAACCAGGACUUUUACCUUGAAAAAAUUAGAGUGUUCAAAGCAGGCCUUUGCUCGAAUACAUUAGCAUGGAAUAAUACAAUGGGACAGCAGUUCUAUUUUGUUGGUUUCUAGGACCGCUGUAAUGAUUAAUAGGGAUAGUCGGGGGCGUCAGUAUUCAAUUGUCAGAGGUGAAAUUCUUGGAUUUAUUGAAGACUAACUAUUGCGAAAGCAUUCGCCAAGGAUGUUUUCAUUAAUCAGUGAACGAAAGUUAGGGGAUCGAAGACGAUCAGAUACCGUCGUAGUCUUAACCAUAAACUAUGCCGACUAGGGAUCGGGCGGUGUUUUUUUAUAUGACACGCUCGGCACCUUACGAGAAAUCAAAGUUUUUGGGCUCUGGGGGGAGUAUGGUCGCAAGGCUGAAACUUAAAGAAAUUGACGGAAGGGCACCACAAGGCGUAAGCAGUCACUCUGCGCCUGUCGAUGAAGCCCGGCACCAAUUCAUCGGGCGUGUCCACGAGGCACGCGGAUACCUAGAUUGCGGGGAUCCUCUCGGGGUGAUCCGCAGCUCACGGCUGUGAGUUCAGAGAUUAGAUAGGUAUGGAAGGACCCAACUCCUUCUGAGCGAUAAUCCAUGCGCCGUCUUCGCUGACCUCCGCAACCAUGGGAGCCUGCGGCUUAAUUUGACUCAACACGGGAAAACUCACCAGGUUAACCUUUGACCGAUCUACGUCUGGGCCUGGGAAUCCUCAGUACCGGUUUCAACCGGCGCAACACCAGCUGGCACAGGGGACGCGCAACGCCGAUCCUGUAGCGAGCCCAUCCACGAUGGGCCGUUGCAACGCACAGCAAGCGGUGGGCGGUUCGGGGAGACCUCUUCCGGAACGCUUUUGGUAUAUGCUAACUCUACGGGAAACCGUGCCUCUCCGUCCAGACCUUGCGGUCAGGGCUCGGGCGGGACCUCUGCGAAGGGGUUGAGAUCCGUGCCAGACAUACGAAGGAUUGACAGAUUGAGAGCUCUUUCUUGAUUAUAUGGGUGGUGGUGCAUGGCCGUUCUUAGUUGGUG